CGAACGGGUGAGUAACGCGUGAGUAACCUGCCCUGGAGUGGGGGGAAACAGUUGGAAACGACUGCUAAUACCGCAUAAGCCCACGAUCCGGCAUCGGAUUGAGGGAAAAGGAUUUAUUCGCUUCAGGAUGGACUCGCAUCCAAUUAGCUAGUUGGUGAGGUAACGGCCCACCAAGGCGACGAUUGGUAGCCGGACUGAGAGGUUGAACGGCCACAUUGGGACUGAGACACGGCCCAG
rnacentral:rRNA from 1 species